UGGCGGCGUGCCUAAUACAUGCAAGUCGAACGGUCUUUCUAGUGAAGCUUGCUCCACUGAGAAGAUAGUGGCGAACGGGUGAGUAACACGUGGGUAACCUGCCCAUAAGAGGGGGAGUAACAUCCGGAAACGGGUGCUAAUACCGCAUAGUUUUCUUGAUCGCAUGAUUGAGAAAGGAAAGACGGCCUUUGUGCUGUCGCUUAUGGAUGGACCCGCGGCGUAUUAGUUAGUUGGUGAGGUAACGGCUCACCAAGACGAUGAUACGUAGCCGACCUGAGAGGGUGAUCGGCCACAUUGGGACUGAGACACGGCCCAAACUCCUACGGGAGGCAGCAGUAGGGAAUCUUCCGCAAUGGACGAAAGUCUGACGGAGCAACGCCGCGUGAGUGAAGAAAGGUUUUCGGAUCGUAAAACUCUGUUGUCAGAGAAGAACAAGUUGGAGAGUAACUGCUCCAGCCUUGACGGUAUCUGACCAGAAAGCCACGGCUAACUACGUGCCAGCCGCCGC
rnacentral:rRNA from 1 species